AGCUCCAGUAGCGUAUAUUAAAGUUGUUGCAGUUAAAAAGCUCGUAGUUGGAUUUCUGGUACGCUGCGCCUGGCCCGCCCACGUUAGUGGUGUGAGUGCUGGUGCGCGGUUGCCAUCCUUCAGGAGAACGUGUCUACCCUUCACUGGGCCGGAUUCGGGAUCCUGAUCUUUUACUUUGAAAAAAUUAGAGUGUUUAAAGCAGGCUUUUGCUAUGAAUACAUUAGCAUGGAAUAAUAAUAUAGGACUUUGGUUCUAUUUUGUUGGUUUCUAGGACUAAAGUAAUGAUUGAUAGGGAUAGUUGGGGGUGCUAGUAUUCAACGGCCAGAGGUGAAAUUCUUGGAUUCGUUGAAGACUAACUUAUGCGAAAGCAUUCACCAAGGAUGUCUUCU
rnacentral:rRNA from 1 species